UACGAAGGGGGCUAGCGUUGCUCGGAAUCACUGGGCGUAAAGGGUGCGUAGGCGGGUCUUUAAGUCAGGGGUGAAAUCCUGGAGCUCAACUCCAGAACUGCCUUCGAUACUGGAGCUUGAGUCCGGGAGAGGUGAGUGGAACUGCGAGUGUAGAGGUGAAAUUCGUAGAUAUUCGCAAGAACACCAGUGGCGAAGGCGGCUCACUGGCCCGGUACUGACGCUGAGGUGCGAAAGCGUGGGGAGCAACAGG
rnacentral:rRNA from 1 species